rnacentral:rRNA from 1 species
GCGAUGUUUCAUUCAAAUUUCUGCCCUAUCAACUUUCGACGGUAGGGUAGUGGCCUACCGUGGUGGUAACGGGUGACGGAGGAUUAGGGUUCGAUUCCGGAGAGGGAGCCUGAGAAACGGCUACCACAUCCAAGGAAGGCAGCAGGCGCGCAAAUUACCCAAAUCCCAACUCGGGGAGGUAGUGACAAGAAAUAACGAUGCUCCGACCAACGGUCGGGUAAUCGGAAUGAGAACAAUUUAAAUCCCUUAUCGAGGAUCAAUUGGAGGGCAAGUCUGGUGCCAGCAGCCGCGGUAAUUCCAGCUCCAAUAGCGUAUAUUUAAGUUGCUGCGGUUAAAAAGCUCGUAGUCGGAUUUCGGGUGGUUCCUGCCGGUCCGCCUCUGGUGUGUACUGGUAGGCGCCACCUUUCUGCCGAGUACGGGUUCCUGGGUUUAAGUAUCUGGGGCCCGGAGUCGGCGUUGUCACUUUGAGUAAAUUAGGGUGUUUAAAGCAGGCUUAUGCUCUGAAUACACUAGCAUGGGAUGACACGAUAGGACUUCGGUCUAUCUUGUCGGUCUGUAGGUCCGGAGUAAUGAUAAAGAGGGACAGUCGGGGGCAUUCGUAUUUCGUAGUCAGAGGUGAAAUUCUUGGAUUUACGGAAGACGAACUUCUGCGAAAGCAUUUGCCAAGGAUGUUUUCAUUGAUCAAGAACGAAAGUCGGGGGCUCGAAGACGAUUAGAUACCGUCGUAGUCUCGACCAUAAACGAUG